AUUGAACGCUGGCGGCAGGCCUAACACAUGCAAGUCGAGCGGGGUUUUCGGACCUAGCGGCGGACGGGUGAGUAAUGCGUAGGAAGCUACCCGAUAGAGGGGGAUACCAGUUGGAAACGACUGUUAAUACCGCAUAAUGUCUACGGACCAAAGUGUGGGACCUUCGGGCCACAUGCUAUCGGAUGCGCCUACGUGGGAUUAGCUAGUUGGUGAGGUAAUGGCUCACCAAGGCGACGAUCCCUAGCUGGUUUGAGAGGCUGAUCAGCCACACCGGAAAUGAGACAGGGUACAGACGCCUAGGGGAGGCGGCAGUGAGGAAUAUUGGAGGAUGGGCGGAAGCCUGAUCCAGCCAUGCCGCGUGUGUGAAGAAGGCCUUCGGGUUGUAAAGCACUUUCAGUAGGGAGGAAGCGUUGAGUGUUAAUAGUACUCAGCGUUGACGUUACCUACAGAAGAAGCACCGGCUAACUCUGUGCCAGCAGCCGCAGUAACAC
rnacentral:rRNA from 1 species